ensembl:lncRNA
CGGCUGAGCUUGGCUUGCUUACAGAGCUAGCUGCGCAGCUACCUAGCAGUGACAGCCAGGACUCAGCAGGAGGGACCAGCAGGAGUGCCAGCCUCUCUCAGAUCUUGUGUUAGCACCCAUCUUGCCCCAGCAUGUUCAUCUGACGCAGCUGACAUCACUCUGCCAAUCAGCCUGAGUCCGUGGAAGCAGCAAGGAAGUGCAGCACACCACCAGAAGGGUUUUGGUGCAUUUCUGUCUAUGGAGUCCAGACAAAUGGAGCUCAGCUACGCAAUGAAGGGGGACCAAUACAUGUGUGUAUUUAGCAAAGAAUCCCUUAUCACAAGUC